rnacentral:tRNA from 1 species
GGAGGGAUGGCCGAGUGGUCGAAGGCGGCGGUCUUGAAAACCGCAGACCCUUGACGGGGUCCGGGAGUUCGAAUCUCUCUCCCUCCG